AAUGACUCCUCCUUCCUAAAGUGAAAGAGUUUCUCUAUCAGCCUCAACUCGAUUUUGUGGAGCCUUUGGAAAAGUCAAAAGAAAAGAUAUUAAUGUCACAGAACAAGGAUAAUUGACUGUGUCAGUUAGAGGAGUGUGAUCUAUUCUAUCAGAAGAGAUGGAGACUCCUGAUCCGGACACAGAUAAUGUUUCCCCACCAUCAAAAAAACAUAAACUCCAGGGAAAGAGAUCAGAAUCACCAACACCCAGCUGUAUCUCCAUGAAGAGUGAUCAGUCUAUGGAUCCUCCUCUGAUGUUUAAAGAUGGAGACUCAACACUUCUACACAGGUAACAUUUCCUCACUGUUAAUGUCACUGCUAAAGUCGUAACACUUAAAAGCAAAUUUAACUAGAUAAACAGGUAAAAUCAGUACAAAAACAUUAUAACUCUGAUCUUGAUGAAACCACAAUUAAGUGACUAAAUGUCUUAUUUAAGGUCUAUUUUGGGGAAAUGUUUAUAAAUGUGAUUGUGGUAUUGUUAAAAUAAAUACCAUUUGUCCAAAUAUUUUUUUGGACUUUUGUAUGUCCAUUCUGUGCAGAGUAGAGCAACACCCAGCAUCAUUGAACCAGUGACAGGAUACCAAGCCAUAAGAAACUUCUAGAGUUAGUAUUCAAUGAAUGUAAAUUUAAAAAUUAAUAUCUUAGACAAAUGAAGGGUAGUUUUUGCUCUUAAACUCUACAGAGAUCAACAUUGGCUGGUGAUGUAUCCAUAAAAUGUGAUGUAAAGAAAAAAAAAGUAUGAUCUAAUAUAUGGACCUAGUCAAUUAUUUUUUUACCCUUAAGUCAUGUAUCUGACAUUAUAGCAUAAACUUAAUAAUUUACUUACAAUAAUUUUAAGCACUGAUUAAAAAUUUCAGGAGAACUGUUUUACAUGUACUCUGCUUGUCUAUGUAGGAUUCCUUCAGGUUCUCCAGUUUCCUCCCAUGUCCCAAACACAUGGCAGUAGGUGGAUUGGUGAACAUAAAUUGAUAUUUAUAACUCUCAAAUUUUAUAACUGUGAACUUUUCUGACAAGAUUUCUUAAAAUUAUAUCUGUAUUUGUAUCUGUUUAGAACAUAUUACCUGUUCAUUCAAAGUGAUGGUGACUGUUCAGUCACAGUCCUAACAGCCAUACAGAAAUAAACCUAGAAUAACUAGAAUUAAAUUAGGGCCCAAUUUUUUUCUCUAGGUUCAUAAUGUUGCUUAUUCACAUGGUACUUAAUACAUUAUUCACAGUAUUCUACAGGAAGCAGGAGAUGGAAUAGAAACAAAGAUCAAAGAUACAGGGCACGACUCAGAAUCUGCUGCUGUAAAUGAAUUCCAGAAACAGUUCAAGUUAAAUCUGAUGAAAAAGUUUCAGUGACUGAAUGAAGUGAUAAUAAACCUGGGAACCCGAACCCUCCUGAAUGAGAUCUACACAGAGCUCUACAUCACAGAGGGAGACAGUGGAGAAGUCAAUAAUGAACAUGAGGUGAGACAGAUCGAGGCAGCAUCCAGGAGAACAACAACAGAGGAAACACCAAUCAAAUGCAAUGACAUCUUUAAGCCUUUAUCUGAACAAGACAAACCCAUCAGAACUGUGCUGACAAAGGGAGUCGCUGGCAUCAGAUAUAGAUAUAAUUCAGACAAAGAACAGUUUUUUGAUAGUUAUUUUUCUUGUAUUAGAUCCACUGAAAGUUGUUCAUGUUGUGGAUUGGUCAGUUUACCAUCAACACAAAAAGAGCAUAUCAUAAAUAACAUUCAAAAAUGUGUUUAUGGCCCUAAUAUUUUAGCUUUGUUUGUUUGUUUGUUUGUUUUUUGUUUGUUUGCAGAGAUUGAAUGUGCUGUGUACAAGCUAGGGCCAGUUCCAGCCAAAUAAAUUAGGCUGGGAUAGUAAUAACAAAAAAUAACAAUCUUAAAUAACAUUUAAUGUCUGUCAAAUUUUGAGCAUUAUUUAACUGAUGCACAGCAAUCACAAAAUGAGAAAAUUAGGUAAACUUUAAAAAAAUACUGUAUAUCUUAAAAUGAAUUAAAAGUCAAUAACUUAUAACGUAUUAUAACUUAGAACGUACUAUUUAGAUUUUAAACAGCAUCAGUUUCUAGAAAGAUUCUCAUGAAGCUGAUUGUUUUGUAAUCUUUUUGAGCCUACUGUAAUAAAUAUAUUAAAGAGAGAUAUCCGAAUAUGUGAAUAUGAAACAUUUUCCUAGUCUCUUUCUUAGAGAGACUUGCCACUCAGCUUGUUCACCGAAAGAGCCGGUUCAAAGAGUCAACUCAUUCCCAAAUGACACAUCACCUGUAAUGACUCCUCCUUCCUAAAGUGAAAGAAUUCUCCAUCAUCCUAAACUGGAUUUUGCUGAGCGUUUGGAAAAGUCAAAAGAAAAGAUAUUAAUGUCACACAAGAAGGAUCAUUCAUUGAGUUAGUUAAAGGUGACUUUUUAUUAGAAACAACUUUAUAUAAGAAAAAUGUGAAUAUAUUGUAAAUGGAGCUCAUGUAAAUUAUGCUGUGUAAAGUCAUGUGAAGCUCAACUUUACCUGUUAAUAUAAAAGGGUUACUCUUUCCCCUACCGCUCUGCUACAUAAUUGUAAAGUGUAAAUGUAAAGACUUACACUGAAUUAUGUACGUCGCUCUGGAUAAGGGCGUCUGCCAAAUGCUGUAAAUAAAUAAAUAAAAUACGUUUCAGAAGGAGGAUUCAUUACGAGUCAUGUGUCAUUCCUGAAUGAGUCGAUUCCAUGCUGGCUCUUUUCUUAGCAUUCACACACAAUUUAAACAAUGUGUUGGAAGCAACAUACUGAGAUGAAUUCAACAAAUGUGUUAAAAAAAUGUAACACAGUAGGUUGUUUUAGUAAACACGUCAUCUCAAAACAUAAUUACAGUGGCCGAGAAGUGCAAAACAAAAUAACAAACCCGAAAACAAAAUAACAAAUCCGAAAACACAACGACAAGUCAGACAACCCAGAAAAGGUAGGUAUCGUUUGUGAAUGGAAACUUACCGAUCAUCGGACAAGACACCUUUCAUUCACCUGUAUAUCCUCACAAGCUGCAUCUCAGUGUGGUGCAGCAGCUGCACAGCUUCAGACCGUAAAGCUCUUCAGAGGGUGGUGAAAACCGCCCAACAAAUCAUCGGAAUUGAACUACCCACCUUGGAGAACAUUUUCAAAAAACGCUGUUUGCAAAGGGCAAGGGGCAUCAUCAAAGAUCCCUCUCACCCCAACCACGGACUGUUUACACUUCUCCCAUAGGGCAGACGCUACCGUUGUCUCAGAGCCAGAACAAAUAGACUGAAAAGUAGCUUCUUUCGCAUGGCUGUUUCUGCACUGAACAGCUGAUAUGGUGUUAGCAAUCACCACUGCACUGUCACUUUUCUUCUGUGUUUUGCACUAUUUUGCACCACUUUAAAUCAUGCA